GUGCUCGCUUCGGCAGCACGUGAACUAAAAUUGGAACAACGCGGGGAAGAUGAGCAUGGCCUCUGCGCAAGGAGGACAUGCAAGUUCACGAAGCGCUCCAUAUUUUA